rnacentral:rRNA from 1 species
UACGGAAGGCAGCAGUGGGGAAUAUUGCACAAUGGGCGCAAGCCUGAUGCAGCCACGCCGCGUGUAUGAAGAAGGCCUUCGGGUUGUAAAGUACUUUCAGUCGUGAGGAAGGUGUUAAGGUUAAUAACCUUAGCAAUUGACGUUAGCGACAGAAGAAGCACCGGCUAACUCCGUGCCAGCAGCCGCGGUAAUACGGAGGGUGCGAGCGUUAAUCGGAAUUACUGGGCGUAAAGGGCACGCAGGCGGUUAAUUAAGUUGGAUGUGAAAUCCCCGGGCUUAACCUGGGAAUGGCAUUCAAGACUGGUUAGCUAGAGUCUUGUAGAGGGGGUAGAAUUCCAUGUGUAGCGGUGAAAUGCGUAGAGAUGUGGAGGAAUACCGGUGGCGAAGGCGGCCCCUGGACAAAGACUGACGCUCAUGUGCGAAAGCGUGGGGAGCAAACAGGGAUUAGAUACC